rnacentral:SRP_RNA from 2 species
CCGUGCUAGAUGGGGAGGUAGCGGUGCCCUGUCACUCGCAAUCCGCUAUAGCGAGAUCGAAUUCCUGUUUGAGGUCAUGCCACGCAGUUCCGGCUUCGUCCCGGCGCGUUGAUCGCAGGGUCCUUCGCGAGGGACGCCCAUGAACCCGGUCAGGUCCGGAAGGAAGCAGCCGUAAGUGGUCACGUUCUUGUGCUGAAGGGUAGCCCUUCGGGAGCGUACGAGCGAGGUACGGCUGGAUGGCAUCGAUCGAGGGCAGGUGCACGG